rnacentral:snoRNA from 1 species
CCCCUCUCAGGGUCAUAUCUGGAGAGUUUCCAGUACUCUACCAGUCUUGGCUAUGGGAGGAAGAGUCAAGCAGAGGCCUACCCAUUCCACUCCUAGGUUGGUCAGUGGCUAGCGAUUGGAAGGCAAUCUGCUACAAAU